GAUGAACGCUGGCGGCGUGCCUAACACAUGCAAGUCGAACGGAGUCCAGCCUUUAAGACCUUCGGGUCAAAGAGGGGAAGACUGAGUGGCGGACGGGUGAGUAACACGUGGGCAACCUGGCUCAUAGAGGGGGAUAACAGGGAGAAAUUUCUGCUAAUACCGCAUAAGCACACACUGCCGCAUGGCAGAGGGUGAAAAGAGAAUCGCUAUGAGAUGGACCCGCGUCUGAUUAGCCAGUUGGCAGGGUAAGAGCCUACCAAAGCGACGAUCAGUAGCCGAUCUGAGAGGAUGAACGGCCACAUUGGGACUGAGACACGGCCCAAACUCCUACGGGAGGCAGCAGUGGGGGAUAUUGCACAAUGGGGGGAACCCUGAUGCAGCGACGCCGCGUGAGUGAAGAAGUAUUUCGGUAUGUAAAGCUCUAUCAGCAGGGAAGAUAAUGACAGUACCUGAAUAAGAAGCCCCGGCUAACUACGUG
rnacentral:rRNA from 1 species